rnacentral:tRNA from 1 species
UGGUCUAGUGGUUAAAAUUCGGCACUCUCACUGCUGAGGCCCGGGUUCACUUCCCGG